rnacentral:rRNA from 1 species
CCUACGGGUGGCAGCAGUGGGGAAUAUUGGGCAAUGGAGGCAACUCUUACCCAGCAAUGCCGCGUGAAUGAAGAAGGUCUUCGGAGGGUAAAGUUCUUUAAUUGGGGACGAAAAAAAUGACGGUACACAAGGAAUAAGCCACGGCUAACGACGUGCCAGCAGCCGCGGUAAGACGUAGGGGGCAAGCGUUGUUCGGAAUGACUGGGCUUAAAGGGGGUGUCGGCGGUGUAGCAAGUUAGAAGGGAAAUACCUUGAGCUUAACUCCGGUGCUGCUUCUAAAACUGCUAUACUUGAGGGCAGUAGAGGCAAGUGGAAUUCCUAGUGUAGCGGUGACAUGCGUAGAUAUUAGGAGGAACAUCAGUGGCGAAGGCGCCUUUCUGGACUGUAACUGACGCUGAGGCACGAAAGUGUGGGGAGCAAACAGGAUUAGAUACCCGGGUAGUC